CUUUAUGAUCAGAACUACUCCGAUGUCGCUCUAAGCAGUACCAUUCUGACAAUUAUCGGAGGUAUCGUUGGUAUCCUAGGAAACGGUUCAGUCAUUAUAUGUUACUUCUUUCGUAUUCAGGAAAGAGGAGAGCGUUAUUUUAUUCCGGUGUUAGCAGUUGUAGAUUUAGUUGCUUGUAUAACAAGUUCUAUUUUCUACGUUAUGGAUAAUACAUUUUUCUUCAAUUAUCCCAAUGAUUUGAUGUGUCGUAUUCUAAUAUUUUUGCAGCUGCUUGUGCCAGCGAUUUCCGCAAGUUUAUUACUGAUAAUUAGUGUUCAAAGAUAUCUGUUAGUUUGCAAGCCUGCAAGUUUGCAAGACCAAGGAUGACAUUACGUUGGAAGAGGAUUGCCAUUGGUGUUGCAUGUUUGUUCACCCUUACUUACUCUGCACCGGUUCUUGCAAUAUCUGGAAUUAAAACAUCAUAUGAAACUUUUCAGAAUUAUACAGUACAGAUUAAAGUCUGUAAAUUUUCAACAGCAGAAACUUCAGCUAUGACAACAGCGUUUCUUCUUCUGUUAACGAUUAUCAGUAUUCUGAUAACCAUAAGUUUGUUCAUACCUGUUUUGAAAAAGAUACAACUCUCCUUUCUAGGGAAAUUCAGACGAAAACGUCGGAAUACGCUACCUGAUGAUGAUUCGGUUCCAAAACAUAAUAUAGAACUUAGAAGAUACAAAAGAAAAACUCCUGAAAUUCAGAUCCAGAAAAAAUCCAGCUCAAACCCAAGCAUCAAUACAUCAUCCUCUACUUUGAUAAAUGAUCUGGAUAUAAAUAAAACAGUAAAUACUUUCACAACCGAGGACAAUGAAAGAACAAGAAAGGAAAAGGCAACAAGAAAAAUAACAAUUAUGCUUUUUGUCAUCAUUGCUGCUUAUGUUUUAUCAUAUUUUCCUUCUUUAAUCACUUUAAUCGUAGUAUAUGCUGAUGGCGAUCUCAAUAUCGGCUCUAUAUCCAGGGAGUCAGCAUUUAUUUUUAUUUACUUUGCGCGUUUCGUCUUUCUUAACCACAUUGUCAAUCC
rnacentral:lncRNA from 1 species